GACGAACGCUGGCGGCAUGCCUAACACAUGCAAGUCGAACGAGACCUUCGGGUCUAGUGGCGCACGGGUGCUUAACGCGUGGUAACCUGCCCUUAGGUUCGGAAUAACUCCCCGAAAGGGAUGCUAAUACCGGUUAAUGUCUUCGGACCAAAGAUUUAUCGCCUUUGGAUGGGCCCGCGUUGGAUUAGCUAGUUGGUAGGGUAAAAGACUACCAAGGCGACGAUCCAUAGCUGGUUUGAGAGGAUGAUCAGCCACACUGGGACUGAGACACGGCCCAGACUCCUACGGGAGGCAGCAGUGGGGAAUAUUGGACAAUGGGCGAAAGCCUGAGCCAGCAAGGCCGCGUGAGUGAUGAAGGCCUUAGGGUUGUAAAGCUCUUUUACCCGGGAUGAUAAUGACAGUACCGGGAGAAUAAGCGCCGGCUAACUACGUG
rnacentral:rRNA from 1 species